rnacentral:lncRNA from 12 species
CUCAUGUGCAGGAUCCAGGGGAUGGAAAGGAAGAAUGAAGACAUCAGGAAGCAGCAGCAGCCAGAAAUGACCUGCCCUUGCCAGGGAAGGAUGGAGUGACCUUGGGGCUGUCGCAGAGACUGAAAAUAGGAGCUGCAGAGAUGCAAAACACCUCACAAGUGCUGCUGAGAAACUGGAGGUUAUUUCACUGAUUUGAGUGAAAUUCACUGAAACAGGGAUUUAUUUCAUCAAGCAUCCACAUCACGGAUCUAUUUAAAUUUUAUGAUGCCGGAGGAUAUGAAAUUGCAUGUCUCAGCUUUUCAGGAUUCAGCUGUUCUGCUAAUGUUUGUCAUGGCUAAGGAAGACACCCAAACGAGGAACAUAUUUAAAAACUACCCACAAAAUAAACACAAACAGUUCUCAGGGACAAGGCAUGAACAUAAAGCAGUUUUCUUCUGACUCAUGUCUUACACCUCUAAGGUGUACACCUCUAUUAAGGCAUGCAGGCAAAUGCACAAGGCAUUCCUAAAGGAAAAAGCAAAUCAGGUUUCUGUAGUCUCAGGACAGCUGGCAAAAGAGAAAAUUCAAACAAGGCAUGUUCCCCUCUCUCUGCUUGCUAGGGAAAGGCUUCGUUCUGAAGCAGCCAAGCAGCACAGCAGCCCCAGGAGACAGUGGCUGAUUACCAAGGCUGUGGGGGCUGGCAGGGAGGGCUGCAAGGUUGGAAGCAAACCCGGUGUAGCUGCUGGCACUUGCUCCCUGCAGGAAUAGUGAGUUCAUUUUUGUGCGCUUCCUGAUGCUCGCUCUGCGGUCGGGAGCUGAUAGAAGGCAACGCUUCAACUUCCUGAACCCUCUAAAUAAAGCAUCCUUUCUGUAGAGCUUGGUUUGCUGGUUUUUUUUUUCCUCACAGAAAGGCACAUUGUGCUUUCUGCUUUGGUUGGAUUUUCG